rnacentral:rRNA from 1 species
UUGGGCGUAAAGAGCUCGUAGGCGGUUUGUCGCGUCUGCUGUGAAAUCCCGAGGCUCAACCUCGGGCCUGCAGUGGGUACGGGCAGACUAGAGUGCGGUAGGGGAGAUUGGAAUUCCUGGUGUAGCGGUGGAAUGCGCAGAUAUCAGGAGGAACACCGAUGGCGAAGGCAGAUCUCUGGGCCGUAACUGACGCUGAGGAGCGAAAGCGUGGGGAGCGAACAGGAUUAGAUACCCUGGUAGUCCACGCCGUAAACGUUGGGAACUAGAUGUGGGGACCAUUCCACGGUCUCCGUGUCGCAGCUAACGCAUUAAGUUCCCCGCCUGGGGAGUACGGCCGCAAGGCUAAAACUCAAAGGAAUUGACGGGGGCCCGCACAAGCGGCGGAGCAUGCGGAUUAAUUCGAUGCAACGCGAAGAACCUUACCAAGGCUUGACAUAUACGAGAACGGGUCAGAAAUGGUCAACUCUUUGGACACUCGUAAACAGGUGGUGCAUGGUUGUCGUCAGCUCGUGUCGUGAGAUGUUGGGUUAAGUCCCGCAACGAGCGCAACCCUCGUCCUAUGUUGCCAGCACGUAAUGGUGGGAACUCAUGGGAUACUGCCGGGGUCAACUCGGAGGAAGGUGGGGAUGACGUCAAAUCAUCAUGCCCCUUAUGUCUUGGGCUUCACGCAUGCUACAAUGGCCGGUACAAAGGGCUGCAAUACCGUAAGGUGGAGCGAAUCCCAAAAAGCCGGUCUCAGUUCGGAUUGAGGUCUGCAACUCGACCUCAUGAAGUCGGAGUCGCUAGUAAUCGCAGAUCAGCAACGCUGCGGUGAAUACGUUCCCGGGCCUUGUACACACCGCCCGUCAAGUCAUGAAAGUCGGUAACACCCGAAGCCGGUGGCCCAACCAUUUAUGGAGGGAGCUGUCGAAGGUGGGAUCGGUGAUUAGGACUAAGUCGUAACAAGGUUAACCGUAA